rnacentral:antisense_RNA from 1 species
GCCAAAAUUCUCCCGGGACACCCCACCUGGACUGCUGUGAACGGGCCUCCACCCGCCUCCCCGGACCCGCAGCACCCCCCGCUCCCUCAGCGUUCUGGGGUGAAGGGGUCUGAAUGGCACCAGGGGAGGCGGCAGGGCGGGCCUGUCCUACCUGCGCCCGAGCACUGCUGAGACAACAUCCCUUCCAGCGCCGCCACGUAGUCCAGCCCCAGCCAGUCGCGAUAUCUCCCCACAAACCUAAACAAUUUCGAGAGGGACUUGUGUUCUGCAGCCAGUCACAGAAUAUCAGGUGAGCUGGGCGCUCCUCUCCGCCCUGCUUAGAAUCACUGGAAUGACCGUUCUGUGGCUACAGCCCUAAAAGAGCUACUAAAAAGACCAGAAGUAGUAUGAGAACUCAUGAAUACAAAUAUAAAUAAAAGACAUCUGGAGAACA